rnacentral:rRNA from 1 species
GACGAACGCUGGCGGCGUGCUUAACACAUGCAAGUCGAACGGAAAGGCCCUGCUUUUGUGGGGUGCUCGAGUGGCGAACGGGUGAGUAACACGUGAGUAACCUGCCCUUGACUUUGGGAUAACUUCAGGAAACUGGGGCUAAUACCGGAUAGGAGCUCCUGCUGCAUGGUGGGGGUUGGAAAGUUUCGGCGGUUGGGGAUGGACUCGCGGCUUAUCAGCUUGUUGGUGGGGUAGUGGCUUACCAAGGCUUUGACGGGUAGCCGGCCUGAGAGGGUGACCGGCCACAUUGGGACUGAGAUACGGCCCAGACUCCUACGGGAGGCAGCAGUGGGGAAUAUUGACCAAUGGGCGGAAGCCUGAUGCAGCAACGCCGCGUGCGGGAUGACGGCCUUCGGGUUGUAACCCGCUUUCGCCUGUGACGAAGCGUGAGUGACGGUAAUGGGUAAAGAAGCACCGGCUAACUACGUG